rnacentral:rRNA from 1 species
UACGAAGGGUGCAAGCGUUAAUCGGAAUUACUGGGCGUAAAGGGUGCGUAGGCGGUUCGUUAAGUCUGUCGUGAAAUCCCCGGGCUCAACCUGGGAAUGGCGAUGGAUACUGGCGAGCUAGAGUGUGUCAGAGGUCGGUGGAAUUGCCGGUGUAGUGGUGAAAUGCGUAGAGAUCGGCAGGAACACCCAGGGGGAAACCAGCCGACUGGGCAUCUACUGACGCUGAGGUGCGAGAGCGUGGGGAGCGAACCGG